rnacentral:rRNA from 1 species
GAUGAACGCUAGCGGCAGGCCUAACACAUGCAAGUCGAGGGGUAGAGUUAGCUUGCUAACUUGAGACCGGCGCACGGGUGCGUAACGCGUAUGCAAUCUGCCUUGUACUGAGGGAUAGCCCAGAGAAAUUUGGAUUAAUACCUCAUAGCAUUAUGAAAUCGCAUGGUUUUAUAAUUAAAGUUCCAACGGUACAAGAUGAGCAUGCGUCCCAUUAGUUAGUUGGUAAGGUAACGGCUUACCAAGACAAUGAUGGGUAGGGGUCCUGAGAGGGAGAUCCCCCACACUGGUACUGAGACACGGACCAGACUCCUACGGGAGGCAGCAGUGAGGAAUAUUGGUCAAUGGGCGCAAGCCUGAACCAGCCAUGCCGCGUGCAGGAUGACGGUCCUAUGGAUUGUAAACUGCUUUUGUACGGGAAGAAACACUCCUACGUGUAGGAACUUGACGGUACCGUAAGAAUAAGGAUCGGCUAACUCCGUGCCAGCCGCCGCGGUAACAC